rnacentral:tRNA from 1 species
GGUCCCAUCGUCUAGAGGCCAGGAUGCCGCCCUUUCACGGCGGAGACAGGGGUUCAAUUCCCCUUGGGACUA